rnacentral:rRNA from 1 species
AAUAACAUUUCAUGCCACCCUGGACAUGCCUGAUCCCGUCUGAUCUCAGACGCUAAGCAGGGUCAGGCCUGGUUAGUACUUGGUGGGAGACCACCUAGGAAGGCUGGGUGCUGUAGGCG